CAGUCGCCGCGGUAAUACAGAGGGUGCAAGCGUUAAUCGGAAUUACUGGGCGUAAAGCGCGCGUAGGUGGUUUGUUAAGUUUGAUGUGAAAUCCCCGGGCUCAACCUGGGAACUGCAUCCAAAACUGGCAGGCUAGAGUAGGGCAGAGGGUGGUGGAAUUUCCUGUGUAGCGGUGAAAUGCGUAGAUAUAGGAAGGAACACCAGUGGCGAAGGCGACCACCUGGGCUCAUACUGACACUGAGGUGCGAAAGCGUGGGGAGCAAACAGGAUUAGAUACCCGCGUAGUCCCUGUCUCUUAUAC
rnacentral:rRNA from 1 species